GAAGCUCCCACGUGAAGAAUUACGCAAGCCUCAUUUCCCCCGCCCCAAGGACCCGCGGGAAUUGUAGUUUUUCCUUUCCGGAUUCAAUUACACUCCAUAAAGAUUUUAAGAGGGCUCUACCCUGAGUAAAAGGGGUAGGGUAGUGGAUGCUGGAAGUAAAACAAACACCUAUACCCCACAGUCAUUGGCUUAAAUAUUUGAGAUAUUCGUUUUAUCUUCGUCUUCUCAUGCAGAAUUGAACCCGAACUUAAGGGUAAAAUUUAUCAGAUACAGAGUAGCCUGACGGUUUUGAUACUUUUAAUUUUAUAGUGGAUAUGCCCAAUAUUGUCUUCGGACAACACAUUUAACUAUAUAAAAGGGUUUUUCACCCUACGAAUAUUUUUGAUAUGCAAAAAAUCCGUGCUCUGGGCGAGGAUGUUUCACCACUUGACCUGUAAAAUGAAAAAUAGGGAAGCCAAGAGAAACUAAUCUGGUAUACUUCUCUAAAAGGAAACCAUACAGAGCCUCCAUGGAAUCCUGUACAUCAAGGAAACCACGAGCAAUAAUGGCAGCAGGUUCCUAGCCUUAGCUUGUAGACUUCAGAGGUGGCAGAGCUAAUGGAGUUUCAAAACCAAACAGAAUUCUAAGAAAAAAUAACAAGCUGGAGAUGAGCAGCAAGGGAAGCCAGACCCAUCAUGUGGACGAACCAACUCGGGAUCCUUAAUGAGCCAGUAUGGAAGUUGGAAGAACCCAACAUCAGGAAUCGGAGGACAAAAACCACUUGUUUGCUGCUGAUCAGUUCUAAGUGAUAACAUGAUUAAAAUUAAAAUUAGUUGAUCCUCCAA